AGAGUUUGAUCAUGGCUCAGAACGUACGCUGGCGGCACGCCUAACACAUGCAAGUCGAACGCAGUAGCAAUACUGAGUGGCAAACGGGUGAGUAUAAUGUGGGAAUCUGCCUUUUGGUUUGGAAUAACACGAGGAAACUUGUGCUAAUACCGAAUAAGCCUUUACAGGGAAAGUUUUAACGCCGAAAGAUGAGCCCGCACUUGAUUAGCUAGUUGGUAAGGUAAAAGCUUACCAAGGCAAUGAUCAAUAGCUGUUCUUAGAGGAAGACCAGCCACAUUGGGACUGAGACACGGCCCAGACUCCUACGGGAGGCAGCAGUGGGGAAUCUUGCACAAUGGGGGAAACCCUGAUGCAGCGAUGCCGCGUGAGUGAAGAAGGCCUUUGGGUUGUAAAACUCUUUCGUCGGGGAAGAAAAUGACUGUACCCGAAUAAGAAGGUCCGGCUAACUUCGUGCCAGCAGCCGCGGUAAUACGAAGGGACCUAGCGUAGUUCGGAAUUACUGGGCUUAAAGAGCUCGUAGGUGGUUAAAAAAGUUGAUGGUGAAAUCCCAAGGCUUAACCUUGGAACUGCCAUCAAAACUUUUUAG
rnacentral:rRNA from 1 species